GUGGCUUGUAAAAGUGCCAUUGCUUCUACCUUUUUAAAAAAAUCAAUUAACGCUACAGUGUAUUUUGCUCCUUCCUUCAAUGUCCCAUUUAAGCAAGAAUGGAAAUGCUAGGAGACCCUCCUUCCUAUCCCAUUCUGCCUUUUCAAUAUCCUUUUUUUUUCUUAGACCAAAAUAAUGACUGAAAUUCGCCCUCUCUAUCUGAACCAAAUGAACAAUUUGUGUUAUUUGUCAAGCUCCACAUGCUGUUAAGGAUGCUGAGAUGAGUCAGAGCGUAAUUUUCAGAGAAAUGUGGAACUCAGAGACAAUUUCCUGCAAAUUUCUUGGUAUUCGUGGGUGGCUGAUUUUCACUUUGAAAAGAUGUCUACUGACCGACUCUCUUAAUGCAAGGAGUGGGAUGGCAUUUGGAAAAUGCACGCGGCUUCUAUUUUUAUUUUUGGUGACACAUUUUUUAAGUGGAUGAGCACGUCAUCAUCGCUUUCAUAUCUACCAUUAGCUCUCCAGGAGAAUCAUCUUUUUAAUGCAGGUUAAAAUGUUCCUCCACUCAAAGAGUUUUAGUGGGAUUUGACUACCUGAUUUGGUUAAAGAAGUGACUUGAGAACAUAAUGCAAGUCGCUUCUGAUGUGAGAGAACUGGCUGUCUACAGAGACGUUGCCCAGGGGAUGCUUGGAUGUGUUAGCUGGGAGGCUUCUCUCAUGACCCCUGCAAGCUGGAGCUGACAUACAGAAGCUCACCUCAUCUCGUGGAUUUGAACCGGCAACCUUCAGAUACAUGGGAAACCAGCCCAUCAAUAUCUUCUUAUGAAAUGACUUGGCACGUGCCGUGGAUGUUUUGAUUGAUUUACACACAGCGAAAAACAAAUGGCCUCGGUGUAAACCUUUGUGUUUGUUACUCCAGCCCCAUGGCUCAUUAGUCUCCUAAGCUUUGUUUCGCCAUUCAUUCCUGUUGUGUUUCAUAUAUUUUUAUACGCUGCCUCCCUGUAAUAAAUGAAAUUACACUUCAGUGAUAAACUGUUCCCAUAAGCAAUCAAAGCCAGGUAUGUGAACGAUAUUGAUGCUGUUGUCACACCAUCCGGUUGCAAUGUGUGCCGUUAUUAGCUUUAUCAUUCCCUGACAGAUCCAAUGUUGGAUGACCAGGGAAAUCAAAAGGAAUGUUUGCAAGAAUAAAAGUCUCUCUAGCGACAAUCCCAAAUCA